UUGUUGUUACUGCAUGUAAACAAAGGGAAAGUAGAGAACCAGGAAAAUGAGGAAAUAUAAAUUUUGUGUGCCUUAAACUUGCUUAGCUUAGUUAUAUAUUGCUGACCAUCAGAGUUACAGUGCUAUAUAUAUUUUUUCAUAACUCAGACAACCCCUUUAACUACCAAUAUGAACUAGAACA